CACACCCCUGCCUCCGCCCUAAACUUGCGUCUGGGUCAAUUGGUAGUGGGGCAGUUGUGUGGAGGGUUUUGUCACUGUAUCUAUUCCACCACGCCCUGCCUUUCCCUUCACACAGCCCCCACUCUGGUCCAGGCCCGGCUGGCGCGGUGACUCCUCCCCCACUGCCUGGUCCUCCCCCGCCCCUCCCACGCAGGCUCCAACACCGUCGGGGUUUGGAUCUCAUCGCUACCAUAGACUGUUGGAGUUUCAAGGGUGGAGAUCCGCCAUUGCUUUUUCCAUAUCCGCAGAAAUUCCUUUCACAUGAAAUGUGAGUCUGUUGGGUUCCCCCCCGAGACCAGCGGUGGAAGAAGAAGCUGGAGGUGGCUGAUGAGACACUUCAUGCUGGACCAAGAAACGGGGACUCGGGGUUGAGUCCACAUGUGCCAUUUGUGGGGACGCCGUGCAUUCCCCAGUUUGCCGCUCUCUGUUUCAAAUUCUUUCACUCGAUGCUGUUGUGGGCAUGAAGUCAAAGCAGGCAUGUGUGAGACAGUGCUUUGUAAAACAUAAGGCACGGAACAAGUUUAGAACAGGAAGAGUUGAAGCUGGAUUGACGCAAUUACCAAAAAUAAAAUUAGCUGAGGGUGUCAGCGAUGAGCCAUGGAACUUUUAAUAAUCAUCACAUUUUAGGUCGGUGCCUUUAUGCUUUGAAUUCAAAUGGCAUCAAUUUAGGAAUAAAGAAGUCAACAGUUUUAAUGGCCCAAUAUGGAUGCAAGGGUCACUGAUUACUUUAGGGUCCUUAUGUUGCAAGGAGUCUAGGAAAAACUUCAAUUUUUUUUUUUUACAGCAACGUGAUUCUCUUUGUGGUGUCUACUAAAAUAAGAAAGUUACAGUGAGAUUUCUUCAGUGUUCUGAUGGCUUUCUGCCUCUCCUCUGACCAGCGUGAGCCACUCCUUCAUCUCUGCCUCUCACUUUCUGCUUGACAGUCAAGGCUCGCCUUGAACCUCCCUCUUCAGAAAGCCUUUCUGACCUGCCUCCUCAGGAGUGUUUGUUUGUGGUAUUUGACCACAAUCUGCACUAUACUAAUUAGCUAUGAUUUUUAUGGGGCUGGAGGAACUUCUAAGGCAGCAGCCGCGUCGGGUUCUUCUGUCUCCUUCCCAGGGCUUCCUCAGGGCUUAGUACAGGGCAUGUGCUAAGCAUUCCCUAGCCCCUUCCUUUGCCCUUGUUUGUUCUUUCUAAUCAGAUUCUGUGGGGAAGUUCAUUGUCACAAUGUCCAAUGUUUAGCAUUCAAAGGCUGCAUGAGGUAGAUCAGGUAAACAUACCUCUCUGGCUGUACCAAAAUGGGGGGUUUGGCAUAUCCGCCACCUGAAAGCAGCUGGACCCUGCGUGGAUCUGGGUUUGUAUGCUGUGAGUAAUGCUGUCUGCAUCUUCGAAUCUUUCACUGUAAGAAACAAAAGUCUGACAGCCUCUGAAUCCCGCCCUCCUUCCUGAUACACUGUGACAAUGUGUUUAUAGUACCCUGUUGAUGCUGACCAGAUGCUUGAAGAGGACAGGGUCAGAUGCUUUGUUUGCCGAAGAAACCAGGUAGAUACCCACACUGUGGCCCCAGGAGCUGGCAGCAUCCUGGCAGCACCCUCGCAGCACCGCAGAGCCCCCACCUGCCUGCCCGUCACCGAUGUCCUUUCUCUUCUUGAGUUAAGCCUUUCACUUACUGUCAGCUGGAGGAUGCAUGCCACAGCUAAAUCCCUGGCUAAAAGCCCAUCCUCUUGUGCCAGCUCACUCCCUCUCCACUCUGCUCCUCCAUUUCCUGUGCCUUUCCUGAGGGACUCAGCUUACACCCAACACACGCCAAGGGACUUUCAUUGCUGCAGCAUCUAGGACGUGUCAUCUCAUUGUCAUCACUCAACACUUUUCUUAUCAGCCUCAGGCUGUUACUUGGUCUCUGCAGAUACAGCAGAACUUGAGAGAGAACCAAAAAACAAAAUCCUUCCUUGGUCCUGGGUUAUUCGCUGGUGGAGUCUGUGUCUCUGCUAAGAUGACUUUGUCAAACACCUGCUAUGUGCCAGAGCGUGGGCCCUGUGUCCAGCACACUUGCAUGCCCUUUUGAGACUGACAGGCAUCAUUAUCUUUUCUACAAAAAAGAAAGACGAGGCACUGGGUGCAUAAUUAACCUGCCCCAGACACGCAGCCAGUUAGUGGUGAAGCUGGAGCCCCCCCCGGAGCCUUCACAUCACUGCCCUGCUCUCCAGCCAACCGUGGAACGAAACAAGAAGGCAGACAACGUCCACGGACGGCUCGCCCUGUGUUUAUUAUAGUGUUUGCAAAUCUGAAUAACUGAGCACAUUCCUGACAACCCUGACUACUGAAAUGAAGGCAAAGAGAUGGGAUGAAAAAUGGGUACUUUGGAUCAAAACAACCCCCGAUUUAUGUAAAUGUAACUCUAACUUUUGGACAGGUGGCAGGUUUGAGACUGGGAAGCUGGAUUCCCUCUGGACUGGGGGUGCCUCUGGCGACAACACUCCUGAGGAAGGCUCAAGCAGAGGAAUUUUUUAAAAUGAAUGAAUAAAUGAGCUCUUCUCAUAGGUUCUCAUGAAAGGAGGGUCCCCAAAGAAGGGGAAGGGCUGAAGGGUUGGGUGAUCUACACAUCAGCAGCAGCAGUGUGUGGUUUCACCUGACAGACUGCUUGUUUGGGAGGGUGGAGGGGCUCUCCCAGGGGAUCCCGAGGUUGCCCCUGAGUGAGCGAGGUCAGGACAAUCUCUCCUCUCCUUCCUGGGUCUCAGGGAGCUUCCAUGAACAGAGCUGGGGUCUGAGGCUGGCUCUUGGUUUGCAGCUGGGCUUGGCUGACACAGCCAGCCUGGCUCUGCUUGGGGUAGCAGGAUACAGGAAUUUAAGGCCAGCGUCUACUCCUGGGCGGGGGCAGGUCAUCCCCCUGCCAGCCCAUCUUUCCAAUGUGACUAAGGGAGGUGCAGUGGGAUGUGCAGGAAACGAGGAUCCCUUCAGCCUCACAGUCCCCGGGACAGGGGCCUUGCAUUUGUGUCUACUGGGCCGGUCUCACCCCAACAUCCUAAUGUCACCAACGUUGAACUUGUCUAUUGUCUCAGUUUGGGUUUUCCUGAAAGUAGGUCCUGAGACAGGACUUGCGUACAGGCAGUUUAUUUAGGGGACUGAGACAGGGAGAAAAGAAAAGACACAAUGUGUGAAUGAAUAAGACGGACUCUCCUGAGGACAAGUGUUACUCAGCCCCACCAACCCCUUCUGAGGACUGUGUAGGACCCACCUGGAAUUCAUCUCCCCAAAGUAUUAGGAGUCUGGGACACUUACUUUUCUGGGCCAGAAAAAGCCCCAGGCAGAGGUCCAUGAAGGACUGAUGUGGACAGAUGCUCUCCAGUGACCUCCUGCACCGAUGGUGUCUGCCACCCUGUCUUUGCCACCAGACUCUGAGUUCUGAGUCAAUUUCGUCCACGGGACCCAGCUGUGGGCUUGGCCCAUUUUUUUUUUUUUUUUAAUGAAUGAAUGAAUAAGCUCUUCUCAUAGCUUUUCAUGUAAGGAGGGUCCCAAAGAAGGAUGAGCCAGGAGGCCCAGAUAGGGGAUCCCCUUUAGUUCCAGGUAGAGGGACACCCCAGGGUUGAGAGGGAACAGAGCAGCCUGAGGAUGGCAAGGGAAGCGAGGGGUGGGGGUCUGGGGGCCUGGGGGCCUGAGCCCGCUUUGGCAAAGGCCAGGACAAAGUGGCCUUCUUGAGUGGUAGGGAACAGCAGGGUGUGACCUUCUUCCAGCCCAGGCUGGAGACCCCUCUGCCACCUCCUGGUGAGUGUGAUGGGGGGAGGUGGCCUCUGUGAUGAAAGUAGGAAUGGCCAGGGCUGAAGCAUCAUGAUGGAACUGUCCCCUGUGCCCCGGUUAUGUGUGUCACUGCUGUGCCAUGCCUGGGUGUGUGGGAGGACUGGAGGACACUGGCUGGGCCUGUAUCAGGGCCACAGGAGCCCACUGGAUGUUUGUGACUACACAUCAAGUAUGGAG
rnacentral:lncRNA from 1 species